UACGUAGGGGGGCAAGCGUUGUCCGGAUUUACUGGGCGUAAAAGAGCGUGUAGGCGGCCACGCAGGUCCGUUGUGAAAAACUGGAGGCUCAACCUCCAGCUGUCGACGGAAAACCGUAUGGCUAGAGUCCGGAAGAGGAGAGUGGAAAUUCCUGGUGUAGCGGUGAAAUGCGCAGAUAUCAGGAAGAACACCAAUGGCGGAAGGCAGCUCUCUGGGACGGUACUGACGCUGAGACGCGAAAGCGUGGGGAGCGAACAGG
rnacentral:rRNA from 1 species